UCCCUGGGGGUCCAACGGUUAGGACUUUGCCUUCCAAUGCAAGGGGCGCAGGUUCAAUCCCUGGUCGGGGAA
rnacentral:tRNA from 1 species